UUGCCGGCGACCGGCGCACGGGUGAGUAACGCGUAUCCCACUUUCCGCUUACUCGGGGAUAGCCUUUCGAAAGAAAGAUUCUUACCCGAUGGUAUCUUAAGCACGCAUGAGAUUAAGAUUAAAGAUUUAUCGGUAAGCGAUGGGGAUGCGUUCCAUUAGGCAGUUGGCGGGGUAACGGCCCACCAAACCUACGAUGGAUAGGGGUUCUGAGAGGAAGGUCCCCCACAUUGGAACUGAGACACGGUCCAAACUCCUACGGGAGGCAGCAGUGAGGAAUAUUGGUCAAUGGGCGAGAGCCUGAACCAGCCAAGUAGCGUGAAGGAUGACGGCCCUACGGGUUGUAAACUUCUUUUGUGCGGGAAUAAAGGAGCCUACGUGUAGGCUUUUGCAUGUACCGUAACGAAUAAGCAUCGGCUAACUCCGUGCCAGCAGCCGCGGUAAUACGGAGGAUGCGAGCGUUAUCCGGAUUUAUUGGGUUUAAAGGGAGCGUAGACGGGUUUUUAAGUCAGCUGUGAAAGUUUGGGGCUCAACCUUAAAAUUGCAGUUGAAACUGGAGACCUUGAGUACGGUUGAGGCAGGCGGAAUUCGUGGUGUAGCGGUGAAAUGCUUAGAUAUCACGAAGAACUCCGAUUG
rnacentral:rRNA from 1 species